rnacentral:lncRNA from 1 species
GUGCUCUGGUUCCAGGUGCCCCGGGGUGUGGGUGACACGGAAGCCACCUGUGUCUGGGCCGCCUCAGGUGCUGGGCAAAGGCAGCUGUGGGCAGGAUGGGAUUCCAUCCUGAGGGUCUCUCAGGGCAGUGAGAAACCCACAACCUUGCUGCCUCCUCCUGGGCACUGCUUGUGGGGCCCUGGGGGUCUUGGUGCUGGGGGGCUGAGCCGGAGCAACUCUCAGUGUCACACUCAGCUCUGAUGGCCUGUCGGGGACAGAGUUGUCCAAGAGGAGGGACAGAAAGAAGUCACUACCUGGGUCACUGAGCUGCUCAGGCUGGGCUCCAACUUGCCAUCAUCCUGCUCAGCCUCCCAGAGUGCUGGGAUCACAGGCGUGCCCUGCCACACUCUGCUGGGGAAGGCCUUUUCUUAAGCAUAGGGCUAGUUUUUUGGUUCCUUGUACUCACUUAAUCAUUACCAUCUGUGCAAACAAAAAAGUUGUACAUAUAAUUGUUUAUGGUGUGUUUAGAAGGGCGGUGGAGUUUAGUAAACACUAAGGACAGCCGCGAAUAUUUCACUGUGGCCUUCGACCCUAGUGGUGCAGCCGGCACUUGGCACUGUUUGUCACAGUGAAUUAGAUGACUUCAGUGAAUUCUGCAACGAGUGUCUUGCGGUGUAAGCCUUGGGCCUCCAUCCCCGGCAGUUUUCAGACCCCACAGGCGCUGCUCCUGGACCCUGCAGAGCUGUGGGUGAGGCCCAGGUGCUGGCUUGGGACAGCACACGUUUGGAAGGUUCUGGAAGUUUCUGGACAGCCUCCUAGGGCGCGACCUCCCAGGGCUUCUUCCGCUGCCCUGACACUGCACGAUGAUCGCCUGGACCAGGAGACCCACAGCGACUGCAGGGGUCAGAGAAGGCAAGCCAGACUCAGUUUCCCCAGCUACAGCCCUGCAACACAGCACCUGACGCCAGGUGUGAGGCUCCAGCCACACCGAGCAGCACGCAGUUCCACAGGGCAUCUCUGGUAAUCCAGUCAAACACAGUCCACCUGCAGGGGGGUCCCGAGAUGUGCCCUCAGAUGCUCGUAGCUUCACCUGUGCCUUUUAACCUUUGGUUAUAAAUCAGGGCUCCCAGAACCCAUCCUGGUGCAGCUGGGUUGCUUGAGCAGCUCCAGAACCCAGGAAGCACCAUCCACAGUGGGAGUUUGCAGGACACACGUGCAGGGGACAGCGCCAAGCACUAGGCUCUGUCCAGCACCACUUCCAGUGACCUCAGG